UACGUAGGGGGCUAGCGUUGUCCGGAUUUAUUGGGCGUAAAGAGCGUGUAGGCGGCCAGGUAGGUCCGGUGUGAAAACUCGAGGCUUAACCUCGAGAUGUCAUCGGAAACCAUCUGGCUAGAGUCCGGAAGAGGAGAGUGGAAUUCCUGGUGUAGCGGUGAAAUGCGCAGAUAUCAGGAAGAACACCUAUGGCGAAGGCAGCUCGCUGGAACGGUACUGACGCUGAGGCGCGAAAGCGUGGGGAGCGAACAGG
rnacentral:rRNA from 1 species